CUUUGAUCUGGAGGAUGAAGAAAUCGAAGACCUGACAAACCGUCUGGUAGUUGAAGAUGGGUUGGUCAAGAUGAGCCAGAUAAUGGAGAACGUGGAGUCACUCACAGGAAACAAAGUGAAUAUCGAUGAAAUCGAUCAUGUUUUGAAAGACAUAGGGGUAGAUCUCACACUUAAAGAACGCUGGG